UAUAUAUAUAUAUAUAUAUAUAUACACACACACACAUACAGGCGAGCCACAUUGACUCGUGUAAGUCACGAUUUGGUUUUACUCGCAGUCAAGUUGUGGACCCUGAAAAUUUAGAUGACCUAUAAAAGUCAAUUUUGAUUUUUGGGAGGGGUCACCAAUGCAGGCAAUGAUUUAUUUUUCCUCCAGUUGCUGCAGUUCAGCAAUGAGGUUGGAUGAUUCUGUGUGGAAGAUUCCUGAUUAUUCAGAGUUUUUGGAUGUGACUCUUUAGAUCCUUACUGCCAAUUCAGAUUGGGCUGGAAUUUAUACACACGCCUGCCUCACACAUGCCCACCACAUGCACUAGCGAAGCCCUCAUCGCUGACCUGAACCCACUCAGAUGAAGAAAUCAUCACCAUCCAGGAAGGAAUCACACUUCAAAUCAUCAAAACUAUUAUAAUAUGGCACAGUAAGCUGAUUUUAAGAUUUUUUUGGUCAACUUAAUUAACUCACGGUUUCAGAUAACUUGAUUUUGUGGACCCCAACUCACGCAAGUUAACAGGCUCAGCUGUUUAUAUAAAUAUAUAUACAUACACACACAUAUGUAUAGAAUUAAAAAAAAAAUCUCUCCACAAAAGUUGUGACCUCACAUUUUUGAUGCCCUUCCCACCCUGGCUAACACAUACAGUCCAAUCACCGCUGUGCACUUUGCCUUUUAUUCAAAAUUAAAAUCAACAAAUAUAUUACACAAAUAUGGAAUGUUCUCAUGUUUAUGAUGAUUACCAUGCAUACAACAUGACUAUCAAAUAUAAAUACACACAUGAAUCACAAGGAGAGACUUGGUUGUGAUUGUCUUGUACUGCAGUAAUAAAGAGUAAAUGUGGGAUACUCACAGGGAUAUUUUGUGUUUUAGGUUUUGUGAUAUUAUAAUGGUAGAUGUAGCACUAAUAAAGAAGAAGCACGACCUGCAAAUGAUCAUUUGGCAAUUUGGACAUCCACUCUGCACACAAGACGUUACACUCGAGCUUGAUAUAUGGAUUUAACAAAAAAAAAAGUAACACACUGUUCAACUCGGAGCUAAUGGUAGCGUUGCUGUAAAAUUUUACAAAUUAUACUGGAAUCAUUUUUAUUUUAUUCUCUCUUUUGCAUAAAAAAAAACCCUUUGGAAAAACACAUGCACCCACAUAAAAUAAUAAUAAAGGUGCAGUGCUUUGUACAGAUUAAUUUGUUACAUUAUUCUCAAUUUAUGGAAGUGUUACAUUUUUGUUGAGCUAGAACUGCUAGGCAGUGCACUUUUUCAGUUUUUAAUUUGUUUUUUAUUUAUUAAUUUGUUUCUGGGAUGCAACUUGAAUGUCAAUCAGACAAUUCAGCAUUUUAAGUAUGUGUGCUUGAGUUUUAAGUUUUUCCAUUACUCAGUCCAGUUAAUGCUCUUACACAAUGUUCUUUCUUCAAAUUUGAUUACUGCUUCUUACCCUUUUCUUUCUCCCAGUCACUUAUUUGUUUUCUGUAUCCAUCUCUAUUUCUGCUUCUUUCUUUCCUUCACUCUAAGCUCUUGCAUUUUAUUUUCAUUUCUACAUUUGUCUUGGCUCUAGACUUCAGUGAUGAACAGCUUACAAACACCCAGAGAGCAAUUACCUGGCUUGGUGUGUCAUUACCUGUGUGUAUGUGUGGGUGUGUGUGUGGGUGUGUGUGUGUGUAUG